rnacentral:misc_RNA from 1 species
UGGAACUCAAGCAACACCUCACACCUCCAAGAAAUUGCUGAGCUUCGUGGAAUUCCUUCAUAUUGGAUUGACAGUGAACAGAGGAUUGGUCCAGGAAACAAAAUAGCUUAUAAGUUGAAUCACGGGGAGUUGGUUGAGAAGGAGAACUUCCUACCAGAAGGUCCCAUUACAAUUGGCAUAACAUCUGGUGCCUCUACUCCUGAUAAGGUUGUUGAAGAUGUCCUUGUCAAGGUGUUCGACAUCAAGCGUGACGAAGCUUUGCAAGUAGCAUAAAUGUACCUUUUAGUGCAUCAUCAACAAUGGCAGUAAGACUAUAUAACUGAGUGUAUCAUUAACAAGAAAGGCUCUGCAAGAUC